AAGGCCAGUUUGGGGGAAACGUGAAGUGAAAAAGACAAGAGAAAGACACAGGAACUUCCCCUACUAUUUACCACCUUACAAUGCAAGCCUUCUCUCUUCAUUCUCUGCUUUCAGUACUGAGCUCCGAGUCCUGCUAGACUAAUAUUUAGACACAUUUUGCUUUGAUAAUUAGGAUGAAGGGAAUAGGACAACUUCAUAUUUGGGGCUCCUGGAAGAUCAGAUGUGAAUACAGAUAUUAGAUCUGGAUCCGUGUGUACCGUGGGUCCCAUGGAGCAACCUCCAUAGUCAUUUCUCAGGCUCCUAAAUCAGGAGCUUCAAAGGUAACUCCUGGGGUGAUUUUUAGUGACUUUCCAUCAGUGUGGGUGUAAUUGCAUUGUCAAUUUUCCACUGGCUUCUUUGUAUAGUCUUCUGGUUUCCGGGUAUCCACUGGACUUGAGCUGACCCUAGACUGAUCUCAUGGCAUCUUUGGGGGACCUGAAUCAACAGCUUCCAGCUCAGAACAGGAAUCUGAAACAUAGCACCUACCUCUGAAGACACUAAACAAAAUGCACAAAAUGUCUAUUUGGACCAGAAGGAGCAUUUGAGACUGUCAGUGGCUGUCUUCAAGGGUUCAGAGAACUGAUGUGAUUCCCUCCUCUGCUAUAUUUCUGGAAAAGCAGUUCACCGACCAACUCUAACUAGAGGAAACUUGGGCUGACACUGAACAUUCACUUCGUGCUUUCCCAAAGCCUAAGGGAGCUUUGUGGAAGGGAGG
rnacentral:lncRNA from 1 species